rnacentral:rRNA from 1 species
UACGGGGGGGGCAAGCGUUGUUCGGAAUUACUGGGCGUAAAGGGCUCGUAGGCGGCCAACUAAGUCAGACGUGAAAUCCCUCGGCUUAACCGGGGAACUGCGUCUGAUACUGGAUGGCUAGAGGUUGGGAGAGGGAUGCGGAAUUCCAGGUGUAGCGGUGAAAUGCGUAGAGAUAUGGAGGAACACCAGUGGCGAAGGCGACUUUCUGGUCUGUAACUGACACUGAGGCGCGAAAGCGUGGGGAGCAAACAGG